rnacentral:rRNA from 1 species
CGGCGAGUGAAGCGGCAACAGCUCAAAUUUGAAAUCUGGCCUCGGCCCGAGUUGUAAUUUGCAGAGGAUGCUUCUGGCGCGGUGCCUUCCGAGUUCCCUGGAACGGGACGCCACAGAGGGUGAGAGCCCCGUAUGGUCGGACACCAAGCCUGUGUGAAGCUCCUUCGACGAGUCGAGUAGUUUGGGAAUGCUGCUCUAAAUGGGAGGUAAAUCUCUUCUAAAGCUAAAUACCGGCCAGAGACCGAUAGCGCACAAGUAGAGUGAUCGAAAGAUGAAAAGCACCUUGAAAAGGGGGUUAAAUAGUACGUGAAAUUGUUGAAAGGGAAGCACUUGUGACCAGACUUGGGCCGGGCGGCUCAUCAGGGGUUCUCCCCUGUGCACUCCGCCCGGCACAGGCCAGCAUCGGUUCUCGUGGGGGGACAAGACCGUCAGGAACGUAGCACCCUCCGGGGUGUGUUAUAGCCUGGCGGACGAUACCCCCGUGGGGACCGAGGUUCGCGCUCCGCAAGGAUGCUGGCGU